UUAUGUAGUCGUAUGUGUGGUGUGGCUGUUACACGUAUCCAUGUGUGGUCUAAGAACACAUGGAAAGCCAAAAGAGAAAGCCUUGAUGGUAUCCUAAUUAAGGGAUUUAACAUUUUGUAUUUAUUUCCUUCUUGUCUUUCUCCCUCAUACAUUAUUUCUAAAAAUAAUUGAUUUUUAAUUUUUGUGUGUGAAGGGGUCCAUUGAAAUAAAUGGGAUUUGGGAUGUCUUGAUUGUAAGUUGGGUGGUUUGUGUGUGUGUGUAAUCUACGAGUGUAUAAUAUUGUUUUGUUAGAAAAAUGGGAGUGAGAGUUUAGGUAAAUCAAAGUGAGUUGUAGUAUAAAAUAUUAUCAUUUAAAUAUAAUUUAGGUGAGGGCAAAAGAGAUAUGUCUAGAGCUAGUAAAUUGUCACUGUGGUGGAAGGAUAUAACAUAUUUGUGUUAAUCAGAACGUUGGAUUGAGAAUUGAUUUUUGAAUAAUCUUAUUUGAGUGGCGGAUGAUGGUAGAAUUACUUCCUUUUGAAAAGGUCGGUGAAGCAUAAAUUUUAUCCAUAAAUCUUCGUAUAUUGUUCAACCUUACUAUCAAUAAAGAUGUGAUUAUAGUAUACCUGAUAGGUAAUAGCUUUGAGGUUAUAGGGUAGGUGGGUUGAAGGAGACAUUUGUUUCAUUGGGAUGAAAGAGUUACUUGAGGAGUGUGCAUCUUUUGUAGGUAAUAUUUUUUUGCAUGAAAAUUUGGUGGAUAAAUUACAAUGAAAAAAUGGUUCAAGUGAAUAUUAUAUAGACAAAAGGGGGUACAACAUGCUCAUGACAAAUAAGAUUAUUCAUUCUUGUCCAUUUGGCAAGUUUGUGUUGAUAAAACAAUAUUGUUGAAGGUAUUCUUAUUCUCGUGAAGGCUAUUUAAUGAUAGGUUGCCUACAAAGUCCAACUUGAUUCGCGUAGUGUGUUGUCUAUAGAAGCUCCGAUGUGUGUUGGUAAGUGUGGUGUAGUGCAAUCUUAAAACCAUUUAUUUGUAUAUUGCUCCUUAUUUGGAAAAGUGUGGUUCAUGGUUUUGAAUUGCUUUGGUGUUUAUGCAACAUUUUAUAAUCAGUUUCAUGUUCAUGCUCAUUUUUUCUCUGGCUUAUUCCGUAAGAGUUAAAAGCUUCGAGCUUGUGUUUGGAGUAUUUAGUUGAUCUUUGUAUAUUAUUUUUCUUUUAGGCACAUUUUGUGGUUCCAAUAAUUCGUAUUAAUAAAUUUUGACUUCUUAAAAAAAAAUUGUCUAAUUAAUUAUAUUUUAUAUUCACUCAUGAAUUGUUGUACUAAUUCAAUAAUAAUUGUUUGCAACUAUAUUAGGAGACUAUUGGAGCUAUGGAAGUAUAUUAUAUUUUAUUGUGAAGCUUAUAUUAUAAUUGUGUUAUUUGAAUAUCAAUAUACAUAUAUAUCACAUAUGACAUUUUUUAUAUAUUUUUUAUAAUCAAUGUUAGUAAUUAGUUACGUUAGAUACUUUUUAUAUAUUUUUACACCUUUUCUAGAAUUUAAAUUAUAGUCUUUUAACUCUUUAAACUCUUAACUCAAAUCAAUUGAACUAUUAAACUUCCUGCAUAUGAUACUUUAUAUAUUUAUCUUUGUCCAUUUAUCUUUUACUUUUACUUUUUACACUUACACGCAUUUUAAAAUUUACACACAAAAAACAAGACAUUGUACUCGAGAUCAAAAUUAUUAUUUGACAUCAUUUUUCAUAUUAUAAUUUGAAGGUGCAUGGUUUCUUCCUUUGGGACCAAAGAGAAAAGGCUUAGGAUCUAGGCAAGAUUCAAAGUAGAAUCUCCUAUCUUUUUUUUAGUCGAAGCAAGAUUUAUUCAUAUCAAUUGUAUUACACAGUUGUAUUUAUUUGUAAUUUGUGUUUCAUUAAGUUAGUUAUGAUGAAUGUAAAAAUCAAUUAUUUUUCCACUAUAUAAAUUCAU
rnacentral:lncRNA from 1 species